UAAAAAAAAUAGAAUUGAUUGUAGUCUGAAGCCCAGGUAAAAAUAAGUACAUCUGAGCAGAUGCCAACUUGAAGGUGGCUGACACCAAAGAACAAGACAGAAAACUGAACAUAUCUCUUCUGCCCAUAUUGACAGAGGCUGGGAACCAAAGAACGGAUGCCUCUCCCCAAAGCAAGGCGUGAGAUACCACUAUAACAUGUAUGGGAGCUGAUAGUCUUAGAAUAUGAAAGAGACCUAGAUCUCUAACAACCUUCAAGAGGCCCUGAUACCCAGAUGGAAUGAUCCCAUUUUGUUGUUUCAUUGGAAAAUGUACUAGAGCUGGUAAACAACAGAGGAGUACAGCUUCAUCUCCAGAAGUGGCAUAGCCUCCA
rnacentral:lncRNA from 10 species